rnacentral:rRNA from 1 species
AUACGUAUGUCGCAAGCGUUAUCCGGAUUUAUUGGGCGUAAAGCGCGUCUAGGCGGCUUAGUAAGUCUGAUGUGAAAAUGCGGGGCUCAACCCCGUAUUGCGUUGGAAACUGCUAAACUAGAGUACUGGAGAGGUAGGCGGAACUCCAAGGGUAGAGGUGAAAUUCGUAGAUAUUUGUAGGAAUGCCGAUGGGGAAGCCAGCCUACUGGACAGAUACUGACGCUAAAGCGCGAAAGCGUGGGUAGCAAACAGGAUUAGAUACCCUGGUAGUCCACGCCGUAAACGAUGAUUACUAGGUGUUGGGGGUCGAACCUCAGCGCCCAAGCUAACGCGAUAAGUAAUCCGCCUGGGGAGUACGUACGCAAGUAUGAAACUCAAAGGAAUUGACGGGG